GGAUGCGUGUGGAGGUAUGGAUGCGUGUGGCGUGUUGAGGUAUGGAUGCGUGUGGCAUGUUGAGGUAUGGAUGCGUGUGGAGGUAUGGAUGCGUGUGGCGUGUUGAGGUAUGGAUGUGUGUGGCAUGUUGAGGUAUGGAUGUGUGUGGAG